GAUGAAGAACGUAGUGAAAUGCGAUAAGUAAUGUGAAUUGCAGAAUUCAGUGAAUCAUCGAAUCUUUGAACGCACAUUGCGCCCGCCAGUAUUCUGGCGGGCAUGCCUGUUCGAGCGUCAUUUCAACCAUCAAGCCCCAGGCUUGUGUUGGAGCCCUGCGGCUGCCGCAGCCUCCCAAAACCAGUGGCGGGCUCGCUAUCACACCGAGUGCAGUAGUUUACUCUUCGCUCAGGGCGUGUGGCGGGUGCUAGCCGUAAAACCCCCAACUUCUCAAGGUUGACCUCGGAUCAGGUAGGAAUACCCGCUGAACUUAAGCAUAUCAAUAAGCGGAGGA
rnacentral:misc_RNA from 1 species